rnacentral:rRNA from 1 species
GAUGAACGCUGGCGGCGUGCCUAAUACAUGCAAGUCGAGCGAAUGGAUUAAGAGCUUGCUCUUAUGAAGUUAGCGGCGGACGGGUGAGUAACACGUGGGUAACCUGCCCAUAAGACUGGGAUAACUCCGGGAAACCGGGGCUAAUACCGGAUAACAUUUUGAACCGCAUGGUUCGAAAUUGAAAGGCGGCUUCGGCUGUCACUUAUGGAUGGACCCGGGUCGCAUUAGCUAGUUGGUGAGGUAACGGCUCACCAAGGCAACGAUGCGUAGCCGACCUGAGAGGGUGAUCGGCCACACUGGGACUGAGACACGGCCCAGACUCCUACGGGAGGCAGCAGUAGGGAAUCUUCCGCAAUGGACGAAAGUCUGACGGAGCAACGCCGCGUGAGUGAUGAAGGCUUACGGGUCGUAAAACUCUGUUGUUAGGGAAGAACAAGUGCUAGUUGAAUAAGCUGACACCUUGACGGUACCUAACCAGAAAGCCACGGCUAACUACGUGCCAGCAGCCGCGGUAA